rnacentral:rRNA from 1 species
UACGUAGGGUGCAAGCGUUGUCCGGAAUUAUUGGGCGUAAAGAGCUCGUAGGCGGUUUGUCGCGUCGAAUGUGAAAACCCGGGGCUCAACCCCGGGCCUGCAUUCGAUACGGGCAGACUAGAGUUCGGUAGGGGAGACUGGAAUUCCUGGUGUAGCGGUGAAAUGCGCAGAGAUCAGGAGGAACACCUGUGGUGUAGACAGCUUACUGGACGAUAACUGACGCUGAGGCACGAAAGCGUGGGUAGCAAACAGG